GUAACGUUUACGAGUUACAUAACAGUUUAAAGUUUACACCGUCAAGGAUGUUAUCGAUAUUUUUAAAUUUGUCAUGGAAAAAAAAAAUAAUAAAUAAAUAAAUAGAUAAUGUAAAAUGCGCAGAAAUCGAAUACACGCGAAAUCCUCCGAAAAAAAUCUCUAAUUCGUUAUAAAUUUAUCACCCUGUAUAUAAGUAUUGCAAUAAUAAUUAUGUUGUAAGAAUAUUUUGAAAAUGUUGUUUUUUUUUUCGCGGUAAAUAGAAAGUAGGUACAUUAAUAAUUAGGCGUGUUGUUAUUUUUG